rnacentral:rRNA from 1 species
GUGGGGAAUAUUGGACAAUGGGCGCAAGCCUGAUCCAGCCAUGCCGCGUGAGUGAUGAAGGCCUUAGGGUUGUAAAGCUCUUUUGUCCGGGAAGAUAAUGACUGUACCGGAAGAAUAAGCCCCGGCUAACUUCGUGCCAGCAGCCGCGGUAAUACGAAGGGGGCUAGCGUUGCUCGGAAUCACUGGGCGUAAAGGGCGCGUAGGCGGACUCUUAAGUCGGGGGUGAAAGCCCAGGGCUCAACCCUGGAAUUGCCUUCGAUACUGAGAGUCUUGAGUUCGGAAGAGGUUGGUGGAACUGCGAGUGUAGAGGUGAAAUUCGUAGAUAUUCGCAAGAACACCAGUGGCGAAGGCGGCCAACUGGUCCGAUACUGACGCUGAGGCGCGAAAGCGUGGGGAGCAAACAGGAUUAGAAACCCGUGUAGUCC